UAAGAUUUAUCGAGCACUUGUUAUGCACCAGAGGCUGUUGUCUCAAUCCACAGCACACUACAGGUCUGCUUGCUGAUUCCACUCUCUAGACCAUGGUUUUGCAGCUGAUGUUCCAGUGCUGUAUUGCUAUUGUUGUUGUUACUUUGUUGCUGUGACAAAUGACCCGACAGAGAAGACUCAAAGAAAAGCACUUUCUUUGGGUUCCCAGUUUGGGGGUAGAAUCCACCAUGGCUAGAAAAGUGAUGUGACAGAAGUAUAAGUUACCCAGACAAAGAGCACCUACUGAGGAAUUUCCUAUGAACCACUGUUUGAACUUGUCCCCCAGGAUAUGAAGCCAGAGGUGCAACUAGUCAGAAAAGGCAGAGGCUGAGCUUAGGAAAGCUUCAAGUGAUACAGGCUCCUAUCCCUCUCCAGCCCUUGGACCGACCGCAGUGCUACAGUGACCCAUGAUGCCAUGCAGCUGAGUCACCCGGAGAUGCUGCUGUACAUCAAAGGGCAGAGAAGCAGGUCCCGGGGAGUCUCUAGCCCUCCCUGCACGUCAUCCCUUUGCUUGUACAAGCACAUCCAUCUCACCUGGUGAUGUCACUGCCCUGGAUUCAUAUGAGCCACAGAGAGCAGCUGAUGACAGGACUCCUAGGUGAGUUUUAUAGGUAAACCUGUGUGUGGCUCUCCUGAGACAAAGGUCACCUGGUUCCACAUAGUAUUGGAAGAGGGCAAAGAGAGAGGAUAGAAUUUCUGGCUGAAGCAAAGGGGAGGCUGCACCUCUCACGUUCACUCCAAAGGAGACAAACUCUUUCCUAAGAUGAGAUCACCCAGCAUGCUCAGCAAGGUGCUAAAAAAUAAUUGCCCUCAAUGAAGACAUACAAAUAAAUCAUUGUGCUUGGCAGCCAAA
rnacentral:lncRNA from 1 species